GGCCUGCCGCCUGGAGAUUGGCCCGCGUCCCAUUAGCUUGUUGGCGGGGUAAAGGCCCACCAAGGCGACGAUGGGUAGCCGGCCUGAGAGGGUGUCCGGCCACACUGGGAUUGAGAUACGGCCCAGACUCCUUCGGGAGGCAGCAGUCGAGAAUCUUCCCCAAUGGGCGAAAGCCUGAGGGAGCGACGCCGCGUGAGGGAUGAAGGCCCUUUGGGUUGUAAACCUCUGUUAGGGGGAAAGAAAAGCAGUGGAAGCAAUAUGUCCAUUGCCUGACGUUACCCCCAGAGAAAGCUCCGGCCAACUCCGUGCCAGCAGCCGCGGUAAUACGGGGGGAGCAAGCGUUGUCCGGAAUCAUUGGGCGUAAAGGGCGUGUAGGCGGCUUGGCAAGUCGAAUGUGAAAUCCCACGGCUCAACCGUGGAACUGCGUUCGAAACUGCCUUGCUUGAGUGCGGGAGAGGUGUGCGGAAUUCCUGGUGUAGCGGUGGAAUGCGUAGAUAUCAGGAAGAACACCGGUGGCGAAGGCGGCACACUGGCCCAGCACUGACGCUGAGGCGCGAAAGCGUGGGGAGCGAACGGGAUUAGAUACCCCGGUAGUCCACGCUGUAAACUUYGGGCACUAGGUAUUGGAGGUCUCAACCCCUUCAGUGCCGUAGCUAACGCGUUAAGUGCCCCGCCUGGGGAGU
rnacentral:rRNA from 1 species